GUUAUUAUCCCGGUGUUUCAGCAAGUUCGAUUUAGAGGCAGGAGAGGGACUACCACCCAGAACGUGUUGUGUGUUUGCUCAUUUGAUAUGAAAUUUACUUUCGUGUAUGCUGGAUGAGAAGGAUCUGCCAAUGAUUGUCGAGUGCUUUCGGCAGCACUCGAAACUCCUCAAUUGCAAUUUCCCCGACCACAACCUGGGAAAUACUACAUGGUAGAUUCCGGUUAUGCAGCACUUCCGGGAUUUUUAACUCAAUUUAGAAAGGAACGGUAUCAUCUCAGCGAAUAUAAAGGGAGUGAGAGACGGCCAAGAACAGCAUAAGAGUUAUUCAACUAUAAGCACUCUUCACUAAGAAAUGUAAUUGAGAGGUCAUUUGGGGCAUUAAAGAAUCGCUUCACCAUUUUGAGACAUAUGCCUCCAUUUACAAUUUGGAAGCAAGCACUUGUUGUAAUUGCAUGUUGUGCUCUUCAUAAUUACAUUCAUGAUCAAGAUAGGAUGGACAGAAAUUUUUCCAUAUAUGGAGAUCCGGAGUAUCCAUUUGGACCUACAGAA